AUGCGAAGGACUGAAAAGGGGCAGCGUCAUGAAGGCCCUGUCAUUCUCCCUGACUCCCCGUCUUUUCCUCAGUUGAGCAUACUCCUAAGAGCGAUGCCACACCCUUAAAUACUAAGGCCCCUUUUUCUCAACAGGACCCUUUCCCCGGGAAAGACCCCAGCCCCGCCCCGCAGACCGGCAGAGUCUGCUGUCUUACUUGGCUGGAGGUUGUGGUGGCAGAGAGAGGGAUCCGGAGCCCUGGGCCCAGGCUGUUCCAUUCUGCCCCAGGAGGCGGCCGCGGGGCCCUGGCUCCAGCUAUCUCAGCGCUUGCGGGAGCCGCGGGCUGCUUUGUGACGCGUCGCCAUGGAGACAAGGAUCGGGUUCCAGGGAGUUCUGCCCCUGCCAAGGGGUGCUGGCCACGCAGGAGGCUUAACCUGGCCGGCGCGGGAAUGGGGUGCAGAGAGCAAAGAAAUGUGGCUUUGAUCUUAUGGAUGCCUUACUUUUACAUUAUUUGUACAGUUCUUGCAGUGAGCUUUCCGGACCACUGUCUUGUAUGUUUCCUAAGAAAAGCAAAAAGGGAAGAGAUUGAAGAGAAAGUAGAUUUUCAACUACAAACUUUCAUCCAUUUGCUUUCAGCUUAAGCAAAUGUGCGCAAAGUUGUCAUGGAUUUUUGCAGUCAAUAAAAACCAAGCAAGAAGACUGAAUCCCAAGUCAUCUGGUAUAAAUGGAAGCAGUUUCUGUGAUAGUUCCACGCGGUCAGAAGGGUCAUCCUGGCUUAGGAGAGGGGCAGAAGAGGAAAUGCACGCGUGGAAACAGGAGUGGGCAGGGAGGAUGUGACACUGUCCUCCUCACCAGGCCACGUUCCUGGCACCAACCAUAGUGUUUGGGCAGAUAAGAAAAGAAACAAUUUGCUGAAACUCCCUCUGCUUAUAACAAAACUGACUGAAAUCAGCCGGAAUCAAUAUGGCCAAAUGCAGUUUGCGCACAGCAAGCUUGCUGAUGUCACAGCCUGAAUUUCUACUGCAUGUUUCAUACCAACUCCCUCCAAAUUUGCACAUGGGACCCACCAGGAAGCAUGAAGAGAGAGCCAUGCAUGCCUGAAGACUUCCCAGAUGUUCCCUUUGCUUCCACCAAUCACCUGCUAACCCCAGGAUCCAACCCUAAACCUUUUGUAAUAAAAUUACUGCCCUAAAGCCAGUACAAGACAGAUUUGAACUGGACUUUUGUUUCCUCAGAAGUUAACUUGCAAUGUGAAGCUUUCCUUUUCUCAAAAACUUGGUGUCAUAGUGUUGGCUUCUAGUGCAGUGAGCCCCUUUUGCUGGAUAACCUUACCUGGUAAUUUGACAUACUAGGUGGUUAGUAACUACUGACUGUCUCCAGGUUACAACACAGUUAUUACCCACUUGGGUGAAAAGAGAAGACAGGAAAUACAUUUUGGAGUUGGCUGGCAACCUGUUUACAAAGCAAUUUACAACAGUUCCUUAUUCUUAAGGGGCUAUUCUAAUACAAGACCUCAGAGAAACAGUGCAGUGUGACAAAGGAGGAAUUUAUCAAAGGAGACAGAAAAAGCAUCAAGGCAAGCUGUGAAAUGGUGCGGUAGGAACCAAAUAGAGAGCCAAAGGAUCUUUCUGUCACUGCAGGCCCUUAGGGGAGGACACAGCAAGAAGCCUCUCCCAGAUGCUGGCACCUUGAUCUUGGACUUCUCAGCCUCUGGAACUGUGAGGCAAAUACAUUUCUGUUCUUUAUAAGUUACCCAGUUGGUGGUAUUCUGUUAUCACAGCAUAAACAGACUAAGACACAAAGUUGGUGGCACUUUGUGAUGGCUGCCCAAGCUGUCUAAGCCCCUUCCUCAUGCUCAGAUACACAGCCUUUGCUUAAGGCUGUGGAAGAUGGCUUGCAGCUCCCUGAGGGUGCAGCUGGCUUUCCCUUGAUGCUGUGGACAAGCUGUUCCUGCCACACAGCUUCCUACUGUCUUCACAGCCCCUCACUCAUCUUUUAAGACCCAGUUUCAACAUCACCUACUCAAGGCUAAUUUUGGUGUCCUUCCUCCUUGUCCCAUAGGACAAAUGAUACAUAUUGUGUGUCCCCUUACCACAUCCUGUACUAUAAGUGUUGUGUUAUUGAUUUACUUGUCUGUCUCACCCUCUAAGCCCAAGAGAAAAGAAAACAGCAUCUUAUGCCUUUUUAUUCCUGGUACAAUGUGGUUUCACAGAAGAUAUCAUAUUUAUUUUUAUUGAAUGAAUGAAUAAAUGAAUGGAAAGCAGCAUUGAGUCAUGGUUAUAUAUAAAGUUCUGAGAACAGUGCCUGGCAUAAAUAAGCACUAUUGAGUGUUUGUUAAAUAAAUGAACAAAAUAUAUCUGAACAUGUCUCAGAUCAUUUCUUCUGCAAUUGUAACUGUAAAAAGUCUUGUGAAAGCUAAAGUAGGAACAUAUGGGAAAAUAAAAGCCCAGAUUUGCAGAGAUCCACUCAUGCAAAUACGUUCAAAUUCGAAGUUAUUGCAUUGAUUCCUGACAACUUUAGUCAUGGCUAAACUAGAAUGGAAAAUUUUACUUCCUUCCCUCUGCUUAC
rnacentral:lncRNA from 10 species